CUUGUUCAUUCAAACACCACUCCCCCACACUCAACACAUAGGCAGUGUCUGCAUUCGGUCUUCCAUCUCCCACUCUUCCUCUGUCUCCCUACCGGCAUGCACAGGCGACUGCUCUAUCUCUGGGUGACUUGGGUUCUGGUUCUACCCUUGUGCUGGGGAAACCAAGAUGAGGAAUACGAUGACGUUACUCCAACGCCAGACUAUGACUACAGUGCCACUUUGGACUACAUAUUUUACAGUAAUAGCAGCCAGCCAAUUGACUACAGUUUGUUUGAAAUAAUAAGGGACGAAAAUGAAGAUGAGCCAGGCAAUCCUAGGAAUGAGGCUGCUGUGAUUGGCCAAUCAUGCCUAGUGCUGAUCCUAGGAUUGGCUGCUCAACAGAUCUGUCGCUUAGCAUGAAGGAGGCCGUUCAAAACAGAGCAUAGAUAUGCUGGAUGUCGGACAGAGCAGAAGCCUACUGACUGACCUAGUAUGUCCCAUGGUUCAUAUCAGUAGUGCAACCAGGAAAUGCAGCAUGUGAAGUUUCUCAGCACGAUGAUAAUACAACAAUGAUUGUAUGGACUCUUUAGGGCACUUUUGUUUUUGAGAUGAUAUACAUUUGUGAGUGCACAAAUUUGAAUUGUACUUAAUUCUAAUAAGGAUCCAAUCGAUUUUUACAAAAUUGAAGGUAAAUACAAUUGCCUUGAUAAUGCCAUUCAAAUAACAUUUUCAUUCAAUUUAAAGCCACAACCCCAAGUCAACCAAAUGUAUCACCCCAUAUUGUCUUUGAGAACAUUUUCUACAACAUUUUUUACUGUUUAUACAAUAAAUACAUUAUUAAAUUUUAUGUGUCA